GCCGCUUUCAUUAUGAAAAUAUAUUCAAAUAUAGGUUUUUAUACCAAAUAUUAAAUUUUUUUCUCUAAAAAGCAGAGGCUAUAAAUUAUAGACCUAAUUUCCAUGUUUAACCCUUUCAUGUAUUUGUGUGCAAAGAGACCAUGUAACUCAACCCUUUCGAAUAGAGCUAAAGCGCCGGCUGUUGGAAAAUUCAACCCUGCCGAAAUUGGUGUGAUAACUGUAUUGACUUUUUGUUUUUGUGCAGGUUUUCUUUGCGUUUCCUUUACUUCAAUUUGUUUUGUACUUUUUCACUAUUUUUUUGUUUUUUUUGUGGUGAAUUUCCUUUUAUAAUUUUUUGGUACAAAUUCGAUUUUUUCGGCAAUUUUUAAAUUCAAUUUCCAUUUCCAGCAUCCUGUUUGGUUGUUUGCAAGCGCACUAUCGUUUGUUUUGCUUUGUUGUUGCAUAGCUGCGGGCGUUUAUGUUGCUGCUACAUAGUGCUUUGUUGCCUGCCACACGACUAAUUUGGGACAAGCGUGUGUUAUUUCUUGCCAAGUUAGAUUUUUUCUUUGCAACUGUUGGUGACUAAGCAACAGCGACAAGCCUUUACCUUUGCCCCAACAACAAAACAACACAGUGCAACAACGAUGAUGCAGUACAUUUUCCACUUGAGGAAACCGCAAAAACGCCGAAUCUAUGAAAUGAAAAAUGCUCGCAUUGAACCCAAAAAUGUGUUUUAAUUGCGAGUUUUUGCAUAAAAAAUAACAACAAAAUUUGUGUGUUUUCAUGCCGCCCACUGCGCUGCGACCCGCAGGGGAGGCUGUAGCAAUUUGUCUCCUGGGUGUAAUUCAUCAAAAACAACAUCAAAGUUGCUGCAAUUUUUCCGUAUAAAAAAAGCUGGCGUCACGCGCGAAGGGUUAGCAGCGCUUCAAGAAAAUUUCGGUCUGGUCUCGGCGAAUUUCCACUAAAUCAUGUUCUGAUAGGCCUGCGAAGCGUGAAAAAAAUUUCAUUUGACAAAAAAAUUUCAAAUUAAUUUAUAACCCAACUUGACACAGCACUUUUAUACGAAUUCGAUAAGAUGUCGGAACGCUGCUUUCGACAACUUUAAUUUACCAAACAAUAAUGGAAAAUAUUUUGACAAACAACAAACAGCCAUAUGUACAUAAAUACUUGGUAUUUGUAAUUUUUUUGUGAUACAUUAUUUAGCAUAUGUCUCUAUAUACACACUUACAUAUCUACUCACAUAGUAUGUGGUUCAUUUCACUCCUUUAAUUUAUUACGAUUUUUAAUGAGCUCCAACGUGUAUGUUUUAUGUCACUUGCUUUAUAUGUCAUGUAGAAACAUAUACAUAUAUAAUAUAGUCAUAUACACGUAUGUAUGUACAUAUAUACUUAUUUAAAAGGAAGAAAAAAUAAUUGCUCACAUGUUUUCCGCAUCUUCUCACCCAACUGUCUGACCCUGUUGCUGCUGCCUCAAAGCUUUUUUUAUUGCGUUGGAAUCUUGAGAUCUCUUGUUUGUGGUAUGUCUGGAUGGCAGAAACACAUGUGACACUUUUCGAAAAAUCUAAUUUAUCAAUGCACAUACAUACAUACAUAUAUGCAUAAGCUUGACAGUAUCUAUACAUAGAUAUGUAUGGAUUCAAAAUAUGCC